CUUCAUCUGGGAAUGUUCCACGUCCCAUGCCAAGAAAUUCCUUUCAGUCCCAGUCUCAGAGACCUGCCAACUUAGUGAGCUCUGGAUCAACAAGUAAGAAUAGUGAUGAAGAUGUGAGGAGAAAAGUAGGUUUCCAGAAGUACAAGAGAAUAGGCAGUUGUCUGCAUUUCUUAGCAUACUCCGUGGAGUCAAAUCCUUAAAUGCACAUUUUAUGUUUCUCUUAAACUGAUAGUGUGUAUUAAUCUGACAUUUGUAUCGAUGACCUCCUUUGCAAUCCCCUCCACCCAUCCCGACCACCCGAACCACUCACCUUAUUUGAACUCUUUUGUACCUACCUCUACAGGCCUGCCAUCAUUGGUCAGUAAUUGAGCUCUGAAGCCCCCUCUGCCACCGGCAGAGCAGGAGAGGCCUGUCACCACAUCUCCCCAGCCCUGACUCAGUGUGGGCAUGACAGUGAUCAUGGACACUCAAAGAGGAAGGGCUGCUGAUGUUCUCUUUGACAGCUUUGCCUCUGAUGAGAGAGUCGGCAUGAACCCGUUUUGAGACAGUGUGGAGCUCAGGCCUACACAGAUUCGACCCCAGAAUCAAGAACUGCUACUUCCGUAUGAAGAAACUGAAGGAUCAUAUACUGCACAUGUAGCCCCAUGGGAUGUCUUGUUUCACGUGCUGAGCUACCCUAAUGCCACCAUAGAUUCUGUGUUGGCGUGAGACUUAAACCAUGACGUCCCCUUUCAUAUUUACAUAUAGAUUCCUCCAAGUGGGGGAAAAUAUCAUACAACAGUACACAAAGACAGAAUUUGUCUUUGCUUUAUGUGUUUGCAAAGGUUAUUAGGAAAAAAGGAAUGGGACAUCUGAACAAUACAUUAAAUUACCUAGUAGUAAAUUUCAAUCUAUGAGUUGCAGUAGAUCUCAAGCAUGGUUACUCAUCAUGUAAGGCUGACUCGUUGCAUAAUGUAAUAUAUCCCUCGCACAUUAAUAACUUUUUAAAAGUUCCAGCACAUGAUUUUAGGACUAAAAUAUGAAAUUCAUCUCACCCCAUGGCCAUCUCUCUCUUCCACUCACCUAGCUCUCCUCUUUCCCGUCAUGCAUUAGUCACGUUAAAUUUGCUUUGCUCUCUGUCUGGACAGGGCAAAGCGUUCUGUCUCAAGGCUUAAUGCUGACACACAUCUCUCCCUUCAGUUGCAGCAAUUCUUUCCAGACAACACAAUCCUGACAGCAACAGCAAUGAAAACUUUUCACAGUCAGAGGUCUUGGUAUCAGGCAUUAACAUAGCACUCUGCAUUGGUUAAAUUCAUCCUGCUAAGUAGCGGUGCAGGUCAUUAAGGUCAAAUAGUAAAGUUUGGGACCAGUUGCCAGGUUUUUGGCUACUUACAUGGAAUGGCUCACUGAUAGUAAUCCAUGAUAAUCAACAAUUUCAAUAAGCAAUUCUCUACGGCUGGCCAUGCUUUCCACCUGGCUACCCCAACCCCGUGUCACGCCUGCUCCCGCUCUUCUUCCCUGGCACUCGUGGGCGCCAGGUUGCCCUGCAUUACUCACUCCUGCCACCAUCAUUUACGCACACCUGCCAUCACGCGCUUCAGCGAUAUUGGACUCGCCUGGACUCACUCAAUCACCCGUUUAUUACCUCCCCUAUAUUUGUCAGUUCCCCAGCUCUGUUCCCCGCGGCUGCAUUGUUUGUCAUAUGUCCGUGUUACUGUGCUGACGCUGUUCCUGUCUUGUUCUAUGUCGUUUCCCGAAUAAAUGUCUGACUCCCCGUACCUGCUUCUCCUGUCCGGCGUCAGUCCUUACAGAAUGCAGCAGCCAUCACACGAAGCAUUGGGGAGUACUGUUGUUCCGGUUGGUGGUGACAUCGGUCCUGGGUCACCGCCGAUGGAACCGGUGGUGCCUAGCCAGCUUCCACGCCCUAGCUGGCUCGAGAGGUUUCCUUGCCCCGGUUGGCUCGGAAGGCGCCCAUCCCACGUCGGGCUUCAGCCGGAUUGUCAGGUCUUGUUCGCCCAGCCGGCCCAUGAGUUUUCUUGUUUUGUUGGUGACGUCGGGCUUGGAUUCCACUGCCAAUGAAACCAGGUGUGCCUAAGCCAGCUCGUUGGGCUUCCACGUCCUAGCUGGCUCGAGAGGUUUCCUUGCCUCGGUUGGCUCGGCAGGUUCCCAUCCCAAGUCAUGCUCCGCUGGAUCAUCGGGCUUCCACGCCGCAGCAGGAUCGACAGGCGUUCAUGCCUCAGCUGGAUCGUCAGGCUCCUAUGCCUCAUCCGGCUCACCAGGAUGAGGCCUGUCUUGUUCUAUGUCGUUUCCUGAAUAAAUGUCUGACUCCCAGUACCUACUUCACCUGUCCGGCAUCGGUCCUUACACCCCGACCAACAGCUCUGCAUCCCCCGCAGCAACUGGUCCAAGCCCCCCC